CUCAGUCAUCUUCACUUAGGCUAUUUCUUUUUAAGUCAUAGCUUCUAUCAAGAGCUCUUGUUUUAUAGUAAGGGGAGAGUCUCCCUCAUUUAUGUUUUUCCUAGAAUCUUUGUAUUGAGAGGAGUCCUCUCGUAUAGGUGCUUAGAUGAUAGGUUUCCAUUUUAGUACGGGGAAGAGUUGGAGAACCUUAGUAGGCUACCAACUCUUGAACCUCCAUAGGUUGGAGGUAAGGUUUAAGCCCCCCUCCUUGUAUUUUGCUUUGUUUGAUCUAUGAUAAGGCCUGG
rnacentral:lncRNA from 1 species